AGUGGCGCACGGGUGCGUAACACGUAAGUAAUCUACCCCGGACCCUGGGAUAACCCUCCGAAAGGAGGGCUAAUACUGGAUAGGGUCCUCGAGGUGUAAGCUGCGGGGGGAAAGUGGGCCUCUGCUCUAUGCUCACAGUCCGGGAUGAGCUUGCGGCCCAUUAGCUUGUUGGUAAGGUAAUGGCUUACCAAGGCGACGAUGGGUAGCUGGUCUGAGAGGAUGAUCAGCCACACUGGCACUGAGACACGGGCCAGACUCCUACGGGAGGCAGCAGUGGGGAAUUUUGCGCAAUGGGCGAAAGCCUGACGCAGUAACGCCGCGUGGAGGAUGAAGGCCUUCGGGUUGUAAACUCCUGUCAGGAGGAACGACGCAGCCAGGCUGACAAAGCCUGGCCCGCAGACGGUACCUCCAAAGGAAGCCCCGGCUAAUUCCGUGCCAGCAGCCGCGGUAAUACGGAAGGGGCAAGCGUUGUUCGGAAUCAUUGGGCGUAAAGGGCGCGUAGGUGGUUCUGUAUGUCUACUGUGAAAGCGUACAGCUUAACUGUAUUUUGUCGGUAGAAACUGCAGGACUUGAGGCUGGGAGGGGCUGGUGGAAUUCCCUGUGUAGCGGUGAAAUGCGUAGAGAUGGGGGAGAACACUCGUGGCGAAGGCGGCCAGCUAGACCAGUUCUGACACUGAGGCGCGACAGCGUGGGGAGCAAACAGGAUUAGAUACCCUGGUAGUCCACGCCGUAAACGGUGGGCACUAGGUGUGGGGAACAUUCCACGUUCUCCGUGCCGAAGCUAACGCAUUAAGUGCCCCGCCUGGGGAGUACGGCCGCAAGGCUAAAACUCAAAGGAAUUGACGGGGGCCCGCACAAGCGGCGGAGCAUGCGGAUUAAUUCGAUGCGACGCGAAGAACCUUACCUGGGUUUGACAUAUACCGGAAAGCUGCAGAGAUGCAGCCCCCGCAAGGUCGGUAUACAGGUGGUGCAUGGCUGUCGUCAGCUCGUGUCGUGAGAUGUUGGGUUAAGUCCCGCAACGAGCGCAACCCUCGUCCUAUGUUGCCAGCGGAUAAUGCCGGGGACUCAUAGGAGACUGCCGGGGUCAACUCGGAGGAAGGUGGGGAUGACGUCAAGUCAUCAUGCCCCUUAAGUCCAGGGCUUCACGCAUGCUACAAUGGCUGGUACAAAGGGCUGCGAUACCGCAAGGUUGAGCGAAUCCCAAAAGGCCAGUCUCAGUUCGGAUUGGGGUCUGCAACCCGACCCCAUGAAGUCGGAGUCGCUAGUAAUCGCAGAUCAGCAAUGCUGCGGUGAAUACGUUCCCGGGCCUUGUACACACCGCCCGUCAAGUCAUGAAAGUCGGUAACACCCGAAGCCGGUGGCCCAACCCUUUUGGGAGGGAGCCGUCGAAGGUGGGACUGGCGAUUAGGACUAAGUCGUAACAAGGUAGCC
rnacentral:rRNA from 1 species